UGAGAAUAUUUAAACGUGACGUACAGCAAAAGGUUUUGGAAAUUGUUGGCAUCUCCCAGGAGCAGGCUGAAGUAAAGUUUGGUUAUCUUCUGGAGGCAUUAGACAUGGGUGCUCCACCACAUGGAGGAAUCGCUUACGGGUUGGAUAGAUUGGUUAUGUUGUUGGCAGGUACUAAUUCCAUCAGGGAUGUU